GGAGAUAUAGUUAACUAUAACGUCCGAUUUGCAUUUGGAAAGUGUCUGUAAGACUAUCCUCA
rnacentral:tRNA from 1 species